UGUAGCAAUAUGAGACUGUUCAGUGGCGAACGGGUGCGUAACACGUGGGUCACAUUCCGGGAAGUGAGAAAUAGCCCAGGGAAACUUGGAUUAAUAUCUCAUGUGGUCGCAAGACUAAAGGCGCAAGCCGCUUCCUGAUUGGCCUGCGGCCUAUCAGCUUGUUGGUGAGGUAAUGGCUCACCAAGGCAACGACGGGUAGCUGGUCUGAGAGGACGACCAGCCACACUGGAACUGAGACACGGUCCAGACACCUACGGGUGGCAGCAGUCGAGAAUCUUUCACAAUGGGCGAAAGCCUGAUGGAGCGACGCCGCGUGGAGGUUAAGGUCUUCGGAUUGUAAACUCCUGUCAUGCGAGAACAAAGCCCGCAAGGGUGUGAUAGUAUCGCAAGAGGAAGAGACGGCUAACUCUGUGCCAGCAGCCGCGGUAAUACAGAGGUCUCAAGCGUUGUUCGGAAUUACUGGGCGUAAAGGGUGCGCAGGCCGCGCGGGCAGUCAAAUGUGUAAUUCAGGGGCUCAACCCCUGCACUGCGCUUGAUACUUCCGCGCUCGAGCUUUGGAGAGGAGUCUGGAAUUCACGGUGUAGCA
rnacentral:rRNA from 1 species